rnacentral:rRNA from 1 species
GGGUUGUGAGGUUAAGCGACUAAGCGUACACGGUGGAUGCCCUGGCAGUCAGAGGCGAUGAAGGACGUGCUAAUCUGCGAAAAAGCGUCGGUAAGGUGAUAUGAACCGUUAUAACCGGCGAUGUCCGAAUGGGGAAACCCAGUGCAAUUCGUUGCACUAUCGUUAACUGAAUACAUAGGUUAACGAGGCGAACCGGGGGAACUGAAACAUCUAAGUACCCCGAGGAAAAGAAAUCAACCGAGAUUCCCCCAGUAGCGGCGAGCGAACGGGGAGCAGCCCAGAGUCUGAAUCAG